GAUGAAUGCUGGCGGCGUGCCUAACACAUGCAAGUCGAGCGGCAGCGAGUUUUACACUGAAUUCUGGAAGCUUCUGAGUAGUACAGAAGAUUUAUUCAAGAGUUUUGUGUAAAAUGUCGGCGAGCGGCGGACGGCUGAGUAACGCGUAGGAAUUUGCCCCAAAGUGAGGAAUAACUGCCCGAAAGGGUAGCUAAUGCCGCAUAUGGUCUUCGGAUUAAAGCCUUCGGGCGCUUUGGGAGAAGCCUGCGUUGGAUUAGGUAGUUGGUAGGGUAAUGGCCUACCAAGCCGACGAUCCAUAGCUGGUCUGAGAGGAUGAUCAGCCAGACUGGAACUGAGACACGGUCCAGACUCCUACGGGAGGCAGCAGUGAGGAAUCUUCCACGAUGGGCGAAAGCCUGAUGGAGCAACGCCGCGUGAAGGAUGAAGGCCUUCGGGUUGUAAACUUCUUUUAUGAGUGAAGAAUAUGACGGUAACUCAUGAAUAAGCACCGGCUAACUACGUG
rnacentral:rRNA from 1 species